UGGGGAAUAUUGGGCAAUGGGCGCAAGCCUGACCCAGCAACGCCGCGUGAAGGAAGAAGGCUUUCGGGUUGUAAACUUCUUUUGUCAGGGACGAGUAGAAGACGGUACCUGACGAAUAAGCCACGGCUAACUACGUGCCAGCAGCCGCGGUAAUACGUAGGUGGCAAGCGUUGUCCGGAUUUACUGGGUGUAAAGGGCGUGUAGCCGGGAGGGCAAGUCAGAUGUGAAAUCCACGGGCUUAACUCGUGAACUGCAUUUGAAACUGUUCUUCUUGAGUAUCGGAGAGGCAAUCGGAAUUCCUGGUGUAGCGGUGGAAUGCGUAGAUAUCUGGAAGAACACCAAAGGCGAAGGCAGCCUCCUGGGCGAAUACUGACGCUCAUAUGCGAAAGCGCGGGGAGCAAACAGGAUUAGAUACCCUGGUAGU
rnacentral:rRNA from 1 species